rnacentral:rRNA from 1 species
AGCGAACGCUGGCGGUAGGCCUAACACAUGCAAGUCGAACGGCAGCACAGUAAGAGCUUGCUCUUACGGGUGGCGAGUGGCGGACGGGUGAGGGAUACAUCGGAAUCUACUUUUUCGUGGGGGAUAACGUAGGGAAACUUACGCUAAUACCGCAUACGACCUACGGGUGAAAGCAGGGGAUAUUCGGACCUUGCGCGAUUGAAUGAGCCGAUGUCGGAUUAGCUAGUUGGCGGGGUAAAGGCCCACCAAGGCGACGAUCCGUAGCUGGUCUGAGAGGAUGAUCAGCCACACUGGAACUGAGACACGGUCCAUACUCCUACGGGAGGCAGCAGUGUGGAAUAUUGGACAAUGGGCGCAAGCCUUAUCCAGCCAUACCGCGUGUGUGAAGAAGGCCUUCGGGUUGUAAAGCCCGUUUUUUGGGAAAGAAAAGCAGCAGGUUAAUACCCCGCUGUUCUGACGGUACCCAAAGAAGAAGCACCGGCUAACUUCGUG